rnacentral:lncRNA from 1 species
CAGACUAACUGCAUAACACAGAGACACAACACCAGAGAAAUCAUUCACACUCAAAAUGCAUGUAAGUUCCUCAAACAUGCGUGAGACAUUAGUAAAUACUUACUGAUUAAAUUACUAUCAUGGUAAUCUUUGUUAUAUACUUUCGUUUGCAAUAUAUAAACUACGAGUUAGCUCGAUGGGAAAUAAUAUGUAGUUCAAAGAAGCUCCAACUGAAUUUCAGUGGUUCCAUAACUUAAAAUGGUGGUAUACGGAAAAUCACCUUUUAUAGUUCGAAAGCAUGUACAUUUAUUUACAAGUCAAAUUAUAAACACAAUUUGACAGUAAGACUCUAAGGACGAGCGCAGUUCAAUGUCUACAAGUUCUCCCCUUCGCAUCUCUUUCCUUCAGCAAGCAUUGAGAAAAGGUAGAUGAAAGAUGAAAUAAGCCACAAACCGGUUUGGAAUUACUAUUUUUGAAGCAAUUAAAGUAAACGCUGGGAUAUGUAUCUUGCCACAUGAAAUUGAGUGAUAAUUUUCAAGGCGGAUCUAGCAUCAUAACUAACACACUCAGAUUAGUAAACCAAAUUACUUAAUCCAACCAUAGCUGAAUCUGCCACAAUUUGCACACCUUUUUUCAACUUGGACGCGUUGCACAUAUGCUUUCCACGGAUGUAAUGCUAUCAUAUGCUUUUAUAUGAGGACAUUUAGGGGAAGGGACGAUGAAAGCAAACAUAUGCUGGUUGAAAUUUGUGAAAAACAAGGUGAAUCUGAAUUAGAUAGAUAUAUGGACAACAUGAAGUAACAAGGUCGCUAAAAACUAAUGCACUUCCAAGUAAGGUAGCUAAAAAGAUAAAAUAAUAAGAACUUCCAUAAUUAAAUGAAGGAAUGAGAAAUAAUACAUCACAUCAACACAAUGGAUCCACAGAAAUAACUAAACUUUUACUGAAUCACAGAAAACUAACACGUAGCUAACUAGAGAAAACUACCACCACAAACAAUCUUACCAGGAGGAUGUUGACAAUUUAAUGAGCGAAUAAUGAUUUACCAUCGAUUGGAGAAUGGGUCUAUAUAU